rnacentral:rRNA from 1 species
UACGGAGGAUGCGAGCGUUAUCCGGAUUUAUUGGGUUUAAAGGGUGCGUAGGUUGUUUUUUAAGUCAGCGGUGAAAGUUUGUGGCUCAACCAUAAAAUUGCCGUUGAAACUGGAAGACUUGAGUGUGUUUGAGGUGGGCGGAAUUCGUGGUGUGGCGGUGAAAUGCUUAGAUAUCACGCAGAACUCCGAUUGCGAAGGCAGCUUACUAAGCCAUAACUGACACUGAAGCACGAAAGCGUGGGUAUCGAACAGG